AGGGAUGUAGCUCAGUGGCAUGGCGCCUGCCUGGCAAGCGCGAGGCCCUGAGUUCGAUUCCCGGUACCCCCC
rfam:Heterocephalus glaber contig136158, whole genome shotgun sequence.